AGCAGCCGCGGUAAUUCCAGCUCCAAUAGCGUAUAUUAAAGUUGUUGCAGUUAAAAAGCUCGUAGUUGAAUUUCGGGACCAAUAUGUCGGUCGUGCUUCGGUACGUACUUGCAUUAUUGGUUUCUCCCUUCUGAAGAACCAUGAUGUCAUUAAUUUGGUGUCUUGGGGACUCAGGACUGUUACUUUGAAAAAAAUUAGAGUGUUUAAAGCAGGCUCACGCUUGAAUACAUUAGCAUGGAAUAAUGAAAUAGGACGUUUUGAUUCUAUUUUGUUGGUUUCUAGGAUCGACGUAAUGAUUAAUAGGGAUAGUUGGGGGCAUUAGUAUUCAAUUGUCAGAGGUGAAAUUCUUGGAUUUAUUGAAGACUAACUACUGCGAAAGCAUUUUGCCAAGGAUGU
rnacentral:rRNA from 1 species